GGUGCGCUUAAUGCAUGCAAGUCGAGGGAGAACCAGUUGGUCCGUAAGGAUCGGUUGGGGAAACCGGCGAACGGGUGCGUAACACGUGAGGAACCUACCCCGAAGACCGGGAUAGCCCGGGGAAACCCGGAUUAAUACCGGAUACCCUCUUUGGACCGCAUGGUCUAUUGAGGAAAUGGUCUGCCGCUUCGGGAUGGCCUCGCGGCCUAUCAGCUUGUUGGUGAGGUAAUGGCUCACCAAGGCAGAGACGGGUAGCUGGUCUGAGAGGACGAUCAGCCACACUGGGACUGAGACACGGCCCAGACUCCUACGGGAGGCAGCAGCAGGGAAUAUUGCACAAUGGGCGAAAGCCUGAUGCAGCGACACCGCGUGCGGGAUGAAGGCCUUCGGGUUGUAAACCGCUUUCAGGAGGGACGAAAAUGACGGUACCUCCAGAAGAAGGCCCGGCCAACUACGUGCCAGCAGCCGCGGUAAUACGUAGGGGCCAAACGUUGUCCGGAUUUAUUGGGCGUAAAGGGCUCGUAGGCGGUUUAACAAGUCGGUCGUGAAAACCCGGGGCUCAACCCCGGGACGCCGGUCGAAACUGUUAUGACUAGGGUCCGGUAGAGGUGAGUGGAAUUCUCGGUGUAGCGGUGGAAUGCGCAGAUAUCGAGAGGAACACCAGUAGCGAAGGCGGCUCACUGGGCCGGUACCGACGCUGAGGAGCGAAAGCAUGGGGAGCAAA
rnacentral:rRNA from 1 species